rnacentral:rRNA from 1 species
AUUGAACGCUGGCGGCAGGCCUAACACAUGCAAGUCGAGCGGCAGCGGGAAAGUAGCUUGCUACUUUUGCCGGCGAGCGGCGGACGGGUGAGUAAUGCCUGGGAAAUUGCCCAGUCGAGGGGGAUAACAGUUGGAAACGACUGCUAAUACCGCAUACGCCCUACGGGGGAAAGCAGGGGACCUCCGGGCCUUGCGCGAUUGGAUAUGCCCAGGUGGGAUUAGCUAGUUGGUGAGGUAAUGGCUCACCAAGGCGACGAUCCCUAGCUGGUCUGAGAGGAUGAUCAGCCACACUGGAACUGAGACACGGUCCAGACUCCUACGGGAGGCAGCAGUGGGGAAUAUCGCACAAUGGGGGAAACCCUGAUGCAGCCAUGCCGCGUGUGUGAAGAAGGCCUUCGGGUUGUAAAGCACUUUCAGCGAGGAGGAAAGGUCAGUAGCUAAUACCUGCUGGCUGUGACGUUACUCGCAGAAGAAGCACCGGCUAACUCCGCGCCAGCCGCCGCAGUAAGAC